GAUGAACGCUGGCGGCGUGCUUAACACAUGCAAGUCGAACGAAGCACUUUAUUUGAUUUCUUCGGAAUGAAGAUUUUGUGACUGAGUGGCGGACGGGUGAGUAACGCGUGGGUAACCUGCCUCAUACAGGGGGAUAACAGUUGGAAACGACUGCUAAUACCGCAUAAGCGCACAGGGUCGCAUGACCUGGUGUGAAAAACUCCGGUGGUAUGAGAUGGACCCGCGUCUGAUUAGCCAGUUGGUGGGGUAACGGCCUACCAAAGCGACGAUCAGUAGCCGACCUGAGAGGGUGACCGGCCACAUUGGGACUGAGACACGGCCCAAACUCCUACGGGAGGCAGCAGUGGGGAAUAUUGCACAAUGGGGGAAACCCUGAUGCAGCGACGCCGCGUGAGCGAAGAAGUAUUUCGGUAUGUAAAGCUCUAUCAGCAGGGAAGAAGAAAUGACGGUACCUGACUAAGAAGCACCGG
rnacentral:rRNA from 1 species